rnacentral:rRNA from 1 species
CCUACGGGUGGCUGCAGUGAGGAAUAUUGGUCAAUGGGCGCGAGCCUGAACCAGCCAAGUCGCGUGAGGGAGGACGGCCCUACGGGUUGUAAACCUCUUUUGCCGGGGAGCAACGGGCGCCACGUGUGGCGUCACUGAGAGUACCCGGAGAAAAAGCAUCGGCUAACUCCGUGCCAGCAGCCGCGUUAGUACGGAGGAUGCGAGCGUUAUCCGGAUUUAUUGGGUUUAACGGGUGCGUAGGCGAAUCGUUAAGUCAGUGGUCAAAUUGAGGGGCUCAACCCCUUCCCGCCAUUGAAACUGGCGUUCUUGAGUGGACGAGAGGUAUGCGGAAUGCGUGGUGUAGCGGUGAAAUGCAUAGAUAUCACGUAGAACCCCGAUUGCGAAGGCAGCAUGCCGGCUUCCGACUGACGCUGAAGCACGAAAGCGUGGGGAUCGAACAGGAUUAGAUACCCUAGUAGUC